rnacentral:rRNA from 1 species
UUAAAGAGUUCUAUAACUCCCAAACCCAUGUGAAUAUACCUAACGUUGCCUCGGCAGGUCGCACCUACCUUGUAGCACCCUACCCUGUAGGGCCUACCCGGGAGGUGCGGGUAAGCCUGCCGGCGGCCCACCAAACUCUGUUUGAUAUUGAAUUCUGAACCUAUAACUAAAUAAGUUAAAACUUUCAACAACGGAUCUCUUGGUUCUGGCAUCGAUGAAGAACGCAGCGAAAUGCGAUAAGUAAUGUGAAUUGCAGAAUUCAGUGAAUCAUCGAAUCUUUGAACGCAUAUUGCGCCCAUUAGUAUUCUAGUGGGCAGGACCGUUCGAGCGUCAUUUCAACCCUUAAGCCUUCGUUGCUUAGUGUUGGGAGCCUACGGCAACGUAGCUCCUCAAAGUUAGUGGCGGAGUUGGUUCACACUCUAGACGUAGUAAUUUUUUAUCUCGCCUAUUAGUUGGACUAAUCCCCUGCCGUAAAACCCCCAAUUUAUCAAGGUUGACCUCGAAUCGGUUCAGACAAACUCGCUAAAUUGAAGCAUCUUAGUCAGCGAAGGAAAAGAAACCAACAGGGAUUGCCCUAGUAACGGCGAGUGAAGCGGCAACA